GGGGCUGCAAUGGUUUCGACGGGGAUGAUGAAUCUCAGGUAGCGAGUAGUGCUGAGCAUCACUUUAAUCGGCUCAAACUUAAAUUUAAACGCUAACGAUUACGAAUUAGCUGCUGCCUAAGGGCGGUCGUCUUAUCUUUGAGGACCACGGCUUAGAUCAAGGCGAAUAUUAGUGGUGAACGUGAACCGCCCCUUGCUCCGGAGGCGGUCAUGAACCAGGAGCUACUAAAGCUAUGACUUUGGUUAUGGAGUCAUAGCGGAGGGAAUGUAGACCAUAACCUACACUCGUAGAAGCCUUAGUGGACUUGUUUUCGGACAGGAGUUCAAUUCUCCUCAGCUCCACCA
rnacentral:tmRNA from 1 species